AAAAAGAUUCUUUUCAUUCUGUUUUAAAAUAAUCUUUCAAGGGAGAAGUGGAAAACAAAAUAUCGUGAAGUGUGCUUCUUAACAAACUGGAACAAAAAUAUAGGAAAAUGAUACGCUUUUCCUGUUUAUCCAAGCUGGCAUUAACACUCAAGCUUAAUAAAUGCUUAAAUAUAAAUGCCAGCCAUGCUAACCACUUCAUUUUUGAACAACACACAAAGAGCAUGCAGCAAAUGCCAAGGACAUACUGUACUGCCACAUGAAAGGAUACAUGUGAGAAACUGCAAUGCCAUCGUCUGCAAUUUAAAUCUGAUGCAAAAAUAAAUACUGAUUUCUUGAAUCAAUUCCUGAGACAUUUAAUUUAUUUUUUUUAAAGACUGAGUUUUAUGCUUUUGAAAGGUUAGCAAUUCACUCUUCUGAACAGUAUGCUUUUUCAUCUGUUGAAAAGAAGGGUACAAAAAGUACUUGAACAAACUCUGUAACACUAAUACAUUUGUACAGUGGUUUUAGAGACAUGUUGAUUCCUUUGGUCCAAUCUGACUAUUAGGUGUGGUACUACUGAUUUAAUAAGAACAGUAACUAAGAAUUGGAUUGAAAUUUUCACAUUAGUUCACAUCUGUAACCAAACAGAUAGCCUCAUGACCGAAACUAACUUCACAUCUGAGUCACUUUUCCUUGAUUCAUCCUCGUUAGGCAUUUUAAAAAACCUGAAGCUGGCCAAUCAGCUUAUGCAACUGGAUUCAUAAGCUCAAAGAGUGUAUCUGAGCCUUCAUGCUGUACCAUCAAAUUUAGUUGAUUUUAGUUCUGCUUUCAAAUUUAUUGCAUAGUUUAUUAUGACUUUGAUACUCUAAGAUUAUUUAAGGCUAACUGAAUGUUUCCUGAUAUAGUUCCUGAUACAGAAAACUAACAAAAGAAACAGAUCUGUGGCUUGCUCCUGCUGUCAGUGACAGAAUGAAGAGACUGGUGAUGCUGACUAUGACCCUAAUGAAGAUGCUAAAUUCCACUAUAACCAAAAGAGAAAAAUUAGGUAAGUCAUAUGCAUAACAGACAGUUUCUUGAUACAAGAUUUGGCUGGACGGCAGUUACCAAGGGGUAAGCACUGUAUUUUAGAAGGAAAAUAUUUUAAUGAAGUUUGCUUUCCAGUGUAAGCUUAGUAAGACACAUUAAAGGUAAUUUUAAUGUUCUACUAACAGUGCAUUAAAAACUAAGUGGUAAAAAAAUAUUCAGUUUAGAUACCCAUCACUAUUAUAAUUCUGCUUCCAACUACUAUCUCCCGAUUUAUCAAUAAAUUAAAACACUACUGUAUUUCACAGGACCAGAAAGGAGGCACAGCAUGACAGAUCUAGGAACUAUGCUAGAACAACUUACCUGAAAGUUAAACUUCAGGUUUUUCCUUCAUUUAUUCUUUUAAAAAAACCCUGCUUUCCUGCUCAUGUCUGUACUGUGGAAUUCACCAUUAUUAAAUAGCUAACUGGCUGUCUGUAUCAAUCAUCUUAAUUUCAGAGUCUUUUAAAUUUUACUUACUAUUCCUACUUCUUCCCCACAGAGAGAUUCCCCAUUUUCAGCAACUGCUUUUUAAGAGUGAUUAUUAAAACAGCAGGGAUCCCAAAACACACCAUAUGGAAAGCUAGUACAGGCAAUUCCCCUUCCCAUAACUAGUGACAAAAAUAAUACAGCAUAAGGCUACCUUCAAAGCACUAUGCUAAUCAUUCUCAAUCAUCUUCACUUUGGCUACUUCUGUGUGUCAUUCUGCCGUAUGUGGGACAUGAAAGGAUCAUAGAAAAUGAGAUCUUCACAGAAACAAUGUGCAAGGUACUUGCUCCCUAGUAAAAAUGUAUUUUGUUUAAAAGAUUCCAGUGCAUACUGUAGCGGGGAGGGGUUCUUUUUGUGGGGCUUUUUUUUUAAGCAUGAACUUAUUACUGAAACUUCUCAGAAAGAUCUUUUUUAGGAGUCAUUGCUAAAACAAAUUUACAAACAAUGCAAGUAAGACAUUACAGCAACGUAAAAUUGCAAAACUGGAAAGUUGAGCAGUAACUGAACUUCAUGUUUAGUUUUAUGUUGAAUAAUGUCACCCACCUUCUGUAGCAAACUGCUCUAGAUGUUUUAAGGUGAUUUCUUUGUAUUUUGAAGUUUCAGCAAGACGGUCAUAAAUUACAGUAUCCUACAAAACAAAGAAAAUGAACUCAGGACCAUUUAAUAGAAGGAGGGUUUUCUGUGCAGACGAUACAAACCCUGCAGGGAAAGGGAAGAAAAAUAUGCAACACUGUAUUAAUUUAUUUCAGUAUCACAAAAAGAGGAAUUUUGUUUCAAAGGAAAGACAAAAAGGAUAUUACAAAUCCUCAGAUUCUCCACACUUAGAAAUUCUGCUAUGAUGUGUAUUUUCUCCCCUACAUUUUUGUGCUGUUACGUCCCUUAAUUUUGAAAAGCACCAUAUUUUCCUUUGGCUUGCCAUGCAAAUUCUUUUAAUAUCCUAAAAUUGUGUCUUCCUCUCUAAUAUUAAGCCCACAAGGUAAAAUUAGUGUUUCUUAACUAUUGUUCUCAGGUUUUUUUAGCCAGCUUCAUACAGAGAAAACUUACAAGAGCUUCUUCUCUCCACUUGAGAAGAUACAGAUGGGCAUUUAAAUUCAAUCAACUUCAUUUCAAUAAAAAAUUUUGGGAACUGAAUUUGCAUACAUCCUCCCCAACUUGACUUAAGAUACAAAACGAGAGCUAAUGAGCAACUCUGCUAUUCCCAGAUGUAUUAUGAUUAUCUCCCACAGAUCCUAUUUUCAAGAAAAUUUACUUCUGACAUAACAUCAAUAGUAGGUUAAAGCUCGCAUCUAGUCACUUAUGCAAGUGACACUUAUGCUAUUUCUAUUUCUACUUAGUGACUCAUACUCAGCUACUCUAGCAUUCAUCCAUUUUCUUGGACUACAGAAGGAAGUAAUGAAUAGGAAGCAUAAAUGGCGUUUGUCCAGUACUAAGAAUAGGAUGAACAGGUCUGACAGAUCUUCAUCUCAAUUAGUAAAGACAGACAUUAACCACUUCAUCAUAUAAAAUAGCUACAUAGUAAAAUAAUCUAAAUUGAAAAAAGGUGUCAACUUUCCUUCCCCAACAUUUUCAGUGUUUUGACUACUGUUAUAACAAUCUUUUGCUUUUGUAUUGGUAGCAUUUUCUUUGAUGUAGUGAAAACAGAAUAAAACUCACAGCUCCUUUGCAGUAGAGUCUUAACUUUCCCGAUGGUGUGCGAACUAUCACUGACAUUCUCUUCCUAGUGCUGAAAGAGAAAUAAAUGCCCUAGAUAAGGUGGUUCAUAAACAUAUUUACCAACAUUUUAUCUACACAAUAUCUAUAUCUUACAUAAGUUCAAGGAAAAGAAGUCCUAUCUAUUCUGAAUUAUGUUGUCAGGUGACUGGAACGGAAAAAGUUUUCCUGUCUAAUAAUUAGAGUGAAUGCUGUUUUUCUGUGCGUACUUCUGUAAGCCUUUUUCCUGUAAAAAAACAUUUGAGAAUCUUUAUCUUGAUUUUAAUACUGUCUACUGAUCACAAAAAAGCAUAUUAAAUCACAAAGAACUUAUGACUAACAUCAUAAAGAGGUAGUGCAUCACAGACCAUUUCAACUUUUUCUUCUUUCCCAGCUAAACUCUUUUGCAAUCACAUUAUUCUCAUCCCAGAGUUUUGUUCAUCACACAUUAAGUAUGCUAAGAAAGUACGUAAGUAUACACAGUAAGUAUGCUAAGAAAUAGAAAGGGGUUCACCUCAUUUUAACUACCCUCUGUCUCUCAGUCAUUAAUGAGAUCUAAGUAUUUUUUCUUUUCAUCCUCAUGACUGAGGUAAGAAUUGGAGGAAUGCACGGAGAAGACUGUCACUCUGCUUUGUCUUCCCUUUGAGAUCCUCCAACAAGCAUACUUUAGAUUCAACUGGGGCUGUUUAGUCUAGAAAAGAGGAGACUGAGGGGAGAUCUUAUUAAUAUUUACAAAUAUCUAAAUGGUGAGUGUCAGGAGGUUGGGGCACCCAUUUUUUCUCUUGUAGUUAGCAACAGGACAAGGGGUAAUGGGAUGAAGCUGGAGCACAAAAAGUUCCAUUUAAAUAUAAGAAAAAACUAUUUCCCUGUGAGGGUGAUGAAGCAGUGGCAAAGGCUGCCCAGAGGGGUUGUGGAGUCUCCUUCCUUGGAGGUCUUCAAGAUCCACCUGGACAUGUUUCUAUGUGACCUCAUCUAGGUUGACUUGCUUCUGCAGUGGGGCUGGACUAGAUGAUCUCUGAAGGUUCCUUCCAACCCCUACCAUUCUAUGAUUCUACGUCCAGCCAAAAUGUGUUUUUUAUAUCAAAAUUCUUUCAAGCUUCAACGUUUAAUUAAAUCCACAGAAACUAUUUGUGGAAUAAAACAUAUUUCUCACAGCAUUUAACAGUAAAAUAUUCAAAAGAGAUGACAGUAAACAGUCCUCUUAAAGUUUUGGUUCCUGCUGGACCUGGAUCCCAUUUAAAAAUAAACAGAUAGCAUUAUUGUAUGAAUAGCUCCUGAAGUUCAGACUGCCAUGGAUAACAUCUUGUAAAUGUAUGGAGAUAGGGAAAGAAUUUUGUAAUUACUGGUGAAGUAACUAACUGAAUCGUACCUUCAAGAAAAUAUUUUCCUAUUUCACCUGUGCAUACACUUUGCUUCAAGUACAGACAUCUGAACAGCAACUUAAAGCUACAUUUUUACUGUGAAUACUGCACAGAAGAGCACAGAAAGACAUUAACUGUUUCAAGUCUUUCUCCAUUUAAUCUGUAAUCCAAAAACCCUCGGGUAAGCAGAAUUCUAGAAACCCUCAGACAAUUUCUAGUUGGAGAUCUGCUUAGACACAUAGAGAAGUUCAGAUUAUCUGAACUGCAGUUAAGUUGCUUAAAAUGCAAGCAAGUCUCAGAUCUACUUUGACUCCUGGCAAUAAGACUAUCUAGCUUACUACUACCUAAAUUCAUUACACUUACCCAAAUAUUCAGUUCAGGCACUGUGGAGGAAUUACAGUAAUUUAGGGUUUGUAUAAACAAUAAUUUUAUAUGUAUGCCCUUGACAGGUUAAAAUUUGGCAGUUUUGUUCUUGUCUUGCAAUACCAGGAGACUGCAAUCCUCAAGUUCUGCAUACAGCUGCCUAUCAAUCUACUGCAGAUCUAUCAGAGAAUAACUAAUGUUUUGCUGUAGCAUUCUGAAUCUUGAGCUACAAAGACAGAUAUUGAAUCUUGACUGACAUACAUUUUCUUAGUAAAACUGCAAUAAAACUAAUGAGCAGGACUUGCUGUCAAGGACUUCUAUUUAUGAGACUUUUCAUUGCAGUGACAGUUUUAUUUUCGUCUCCUGGUGAAAUACAGAAACCACAAAAUUCUACUACUACAUAUAACUGUCAGUGCGAGGCCAUUUGUUUUGUUUGGUUUUCUUCAUCACUGAAGUGAUGCAAACUGACAUAAAGGUAACCCAGCUGUAACAGGAAAAGUACUGAACAGAAGAUAUCUGUGGAAACACUGACAGAAAAAAUGCCUGACAGCCUGGCAACCAGAAACAUCCUUGAGAAGCGCAGACAGCAUCUCUGAAGUACAUCUGGGCACCUAAAAGCCUGUGAAACCCUGAGAUACCAUCACUAAGGGCAAAACAAGGGAAUGUUAACUGCAAUUUAGUGUCUGGAAAGGGGAAAAAUGUCUAGAAAAGGGAGAAAUAUCCUUAGAAAGUAAGAAUCAGCAACCGCUAUUGAUUGUUCUAGCUGAAAGAAUGGGACAAAGAGGCUGACAAAACAAAAACUGGUCUGAAAGAAAACACCAUCAUCAUGCCUGUUGCAGGCGGUGGUGUCCUACAUCCUCUUAUGUCUCUGCAAUCUAAAAAUGACCUGGUUUUACUCAAAGUGAAAUCUCUCUCUCUCAGAACCACUCCUGCAUGAUUUUUUCACCACCAGGAACACCUGGGCUGACCCAGACUCUCACUCUUUGAAGCAAGACUCUGUCAUCAACUUUGAGGCCCCACUCCUGGGGCCAGUUUGGAAUAAAACCAAAAGCUUCUUAACUGUUUUACCUCCGUGCUAACCACUAUAUUCUGGAAAGUUUUACAUUUCCCAGAGAAGAAAAAAGAAGUGCACUGAAAAGAAGAAUCAGAUGAAAAAUAACAAAUGAUAAAACACUUCAAUUCCAUCUUUUUACACUACUGGAAACUGUCAGUAUCACAUUAAUGAUUUCAUUUCUUUCCACCUCAAGAUAGAAAUAUUAUUUUUUUUUAAAAGGAAGAAACUAAUUCUUCAGCCUCAAAAAGAAGAAAAAGAAGCUAUGAAAAUCAAGUUUCUCAAUCAACAACAGUUCAUCAUAAAUACAGAUAACUGUUUUGUUCAAUAUAAACUUGAGAAGACUCCCAAAGAUUUUUCUUUUAAAACUGACCAAACCACCCCAUAAUGCCUACUUUGAUGACUACAUUCACCAGCAGCUUUGUAUUCCACACUCUGUUGUUUCAGGAACAGGGAGUCUAGUUCUGGUUCUACUGCAUAAAUAAAGAAGGCUCUAGGCACACUGAAAUAAAUUCUGAAAACAUGAAUAACUGACCACAAAGUGCAUUCAUGAAAAAAAUUCCUUUAAUGAGAGUCAAAUUAUGUCAGUAUGUUGCAUACCGCUGUGAAGACCCACGUAACAUCACAUUGCCUUUUAUCCAUCAUGAGUACAGCUAGCUGCCCCAAAUACAUGAAAUGAGAUCUUUUGUGUCUGUUUUAUCUUCUUCAAGAGCAGUCUGAUAAGAGCUGAUACUGACAGUCAAUAAUUAGUUAGAUCCCUGUAUGGUAAAAAUUAUAAAGCUACUGCAUUAUUUCCUGGGAGCUUAAAAAUUCAGAAAAAAAACAUUGCAGCUUUAAGCAUCGUCCAUUGGUAAUAGAUGGUUUUAGUCUGAUGUUUAGGAAGCUGACUUUAUGCUAGAGAAUGCUGAUGCAGACAGACCUUGCUGAGCUGCAGAGAUGUAGAGACUAAAAGAUGUUGAGAUAAACAACAAAUCUCCCCUUCUUGAAUUCAGCAGGAGCUCAGAUGACACAGUAAGGUAAAUUUUAUACUUGCUGUGAUAUACUUAGCCUAAUAACUUUAGUCAAUAACCAAUAAACACGGACUGACAAAACCCA